AGUGACCCUUUGAAUUAAAAAGGUUCCUCACCCCUGCUUUUGAGGAAAAACAUCAAUGUGCUUGGCCACUCUGGUUUUUAAAUUAUUCUGAACUAAAGCAAGGAUUGUUCAAGGAAGUUCAAAACAGACUGUCUCUGGUUAAGUUAGUUCUACACCAAGCCUUUAGGUGGCAGUACAACUAAUUCGCACAAUGCGAAUUCCACACACAAGCCACAAAGAAGCCAUCUACCGCGGUCAACACCUAUCUGAUUGAACAGAACCACGCGCUGUCUGUGUGGUUUCACUGUUACAAGUUUCUUGGCGAUAUGGGGGAAAGUUCCUCACAUACCAACGGAAAAUGGGCUUCACAUACAUGCUGCUGUCUCAUAAUAUGGCGAAGACGAGUCACUUGAAGGCCUAACAGCUCUUAUGAGGAGCAGUCUUGCCAUAGAAGACUGAAAGAAUGUAAGAUUAACUUCUUUGUGACCAAUAUGACUUGCUCAUUGAUACAUUUGCUAUGUCAAUAUGAGAUGCAUGGCGAAGUAUUUAAUUUAUUUGUCUCUCUUCUAGGAGCUGUAGAAACAACAGGGUGCCUGCUGCAGUAUGACGAGGACGCCCUGAUCAUAGAAGGUCCAGUGUCUUGGCAGGGUGAAAUGGCACUGAUAUCGUGUCCUGCAGGAUGCUGUGUCCUGCAAUCCUGUGUGCUGUGCUACAGACGCGUGUGGAGGUCAACCCGAAAUGGGCACAGUAGAGUGAAAGAGGGUAAGCUUAACCUAUAGCCUACGUCAGGGUUGGGGAACCUUUCUCAU